rnacentral:rRNA from 1 species
AGUUCGGACUGUAGGCUGCAACUCGCCUACACAAGUUGGAAUUGCUAGUAAUCGUGGAUCAGCAUGCCACGGUGAAUACGUUCCCGGGUCUUGUACACACCGCCCGUCACACCAUGGGAGCUGGUAACACCCGAAGUCAGUAGUCUAACCGCAAGGAGGACGCUGCCGAAGGUGGGAUUAGCGACUGGGGUGAAGUCGUAACAAGGUAAC